rnacentral:rRNA from 1 species
CACGUAGGGUGCGAGCGUUGUCCGGAAUUAUUGGGCGUAAAGAGCUCGUAGGCGGUGUGUCGCGUCGGCCGUGAAAACCUGCAGCUUAACUGUGGGCGUGCGGUCGAUACGGGCAUCACUGGAGUUCGGCAGGGGAGACUGGAAUUCCUGGUGUAGAGGUGAAAUUCGUAGAUAUCGGGAGGAACACCGGUGGCGAAGGCGGCGACCUGGGUAGAUACUGACGCUGAGGCGCGAAAGCGUGGGGAGCAAACAGG